UAGAUUCUUGAUUCCUUCCAU
rnacentral:misc_RNA from 1 species